rnacentral:rRNA from 1 species
ACUCAAAGGAAUUGACGGGGGCCCGCACAAGCAGCGGAGCGUGUGGUUUAAUUCGAUGCAACGCGAAGAACCUUACCCAGGCUUGACAUGCAGGUGGUACCGCGGCGAAAGCCAAGGGACCCGCGAGGGAGCCUGUGCAGGUGCUGCACGGCUGUCGUCAGCUCGUGCCGUGAGGUGUUGGGUUAAGUCCCGCAACGAGCGCAACCCCCGCCGCUAGUUACCAUGUCUAGCGGGACCGCCGGGACCAACCCGGAGGAAGGUGGGGACGACGUCAAGUCAGCAUGGCCCUGACGCCUGGGGCUACACACACGCUACAAUGGCCGGGACAAUGGGCAGCGAGGGGGCGACCCGGAGCAAAUCCCAGCAAACCCGGUCUCAGUUCGGAUUGCAGGCUGCAACCCGCCUGCAUGAAGUCGGAGUUGCUAGUAACCGCUGGUCAGCACACAGCGGUGAAUACGUUCCCGGGCCUUGUACACACCGCCCGU